GACGAACGCUGGCGGCGUGCUUAACACAUGCAAGUCGAACGGAAAGGCCCUGCUUUUGUGGGGUGCUCGAGUGGCGAACGGGUGAGUAACACGUGAGUAACCUGCCCUUGACUUUGGGAUAACUUCAGGAAACUGGGGCUAAUACCGGAUAGGAGCUCCUGCUGCAUGGUGGGGGUUGGAAAGUUUCGGCGGUUGGGGAUGGACUCGCGGCUUAUCAGCUUGUUGGUGGGGUAGUGGCUUACCAAGGCUUUGACGGGUAGCCGGCCUGAGAGGGUGACCGGCCACAUGGGGACUGAGAUAGGGCCCAGACGCCUACGGGAGGCAGCAGGGGGGAAUAUUGCACAAUGGGCGGAAGCCUGAUGCAGCAACGCCGCGUGCGGGAUGACGGCCUUCGGGUUGUAAACCGCUUUCGCCUGUGACGAAGCGUGAGUGACGGUAAUGGGUAAAGAAGCACCGGCUAACUACGUG
rnacentral:rRNA from 1 species